CGCUGGGCGGGUUUGGUGGGAAGUGCUGAGGCGCCGCGCGGGGGAAGAGCCGAGCCUGCGGCACGGAGCGGGGGUGGUGGGGAGCGGCCAGGUUCCCGCGGUGCCCUGGCAGUGCUGACCGGUCCCCUCGCUGAGGUGCCGCCCUGUUUCCCUCACAGCCCCCGGUCGCGGCGCUACCGCAGAUGCCGCGGUAGCUGCGAGGGACGGGAGCCCCGGGCUGCCCGCGGGUGCCGCUACAGGGAUAGCGGGGCAUGGUGAGCGCCGAGGCGACUCUGGGGUGCAGAAAGGCAGCGGAGCCCGAGGGACAGCGCCGGGACUGGGAAGAGAAACGCCGAAGCCCCUGCGAGCGCGGAAAGCGCCGCCGUCGGCGAGGGAACCGUUAGAGCAGCGCAGCGGGGACGGCGCCGGGCACUGCAAAAAAGAAAAUAGCAGGAAACUGUUAGAACAUUCACAUAAGACAUGGAAGGGGAAAAAAAAAGAGAAGAAAGGAAGGCACUCUGGGGUCCAGGCUUCACUCUCUAAAAAGGUCACAGGAGAGCAUCUCUGGUCCUCCUGGUGCCGUCUUUCACUUUGCGCUUCAUAGCACUGAGAAUUCUGCAUCCAAGCCUCAAGUCUCCUGCUCAACCCUGCAGUGGCAGGCACCAGGUGCCGCACCUGCUCCAGAUGCGGAAGCAAGUGGGGAAGAAGAUCCUGCCCUGCAAUACGGAUAGCUCUGAUUACUCUCAGCUCCAGAGUCUCGAAGAACAGCUCCCUUCUUCCCGAGCGGAAGAGCGGAAGACUGAAGCGGAGGGAAGAGCAAGGCACUCUGGGCACAGGGACCUCCCUGUAAGCAGGGCUCAGGUCCGCUGAGAGCAUCGCUGGCACUGUUGGUGCCCUUUGUUACUUUGCGCUGGGCGCCCUGCCUGCAGCCAGGGCUCGGGUCUUUGAUGUUUCUUGGUGGCCUUUUUGCCACGUGGCUCCUUCAGCUGCCUGGGGAGAGUGACGACCCUGUAAGGAGGGUGAGAGGCGCUCUCCCCUCACCCGCGGGGGAACUUGAGCUCUCUGGACCCCCUUCCCACCCUGUAAGCAGGGGUGGGCCCCUCGCCCCGCGGCUUUCCGCCUGCUGACAACCUGGCCAGCGUGACGGCCCCGUAAGCGGGGUGUCUGUCACAGCAUCUGCCUUUGGGCAAGCUCUGAGGCGCCUGGUGAUGGUGAGGGCUCUGGCCUCCGUGCGAGCUGGGGGCAAGUCGGAGCCUCUCUCGUGCUCGUGGGUGAGCGUCUGGGGGCGUUGAUCUCGGCUGCCCUGGGUCCUCUUGCCCUCCUGGAAAGUCAUGUUUGCGUGCGUGUGCGCGUGUUGGUGUGCGUGCCUGGGGGUGAGUGAGUGAGCGAGCUUGCGCUUAGGCUCCAUGUGCUAAUACUGCAGCGUACCUAACCUACACUUCCCAGGAGAGCAAGCGGAAGUCUGGGUGCAGCAGGAGCUCGAUGCUGCCUGGUGCCCUGCGUCGCGGGAGAGCCCAGGCCUGGCCCUGGCUGCCGGAGGGCAGAGUUAAGCCACUCACAAAGGCGGUGGGCGGUGCGACCUGCCCGUAGUGAGGGCCUAGGUCUCUGCCGGCAUGGCGCUCUGUCCUGCUGGCAGGCUGGCCAGCGUGACAAGCCUGUGAGCAGGGCGAGCGUCACGAGCUGUGGAGCCCCGUGUCACCCGGAGCAGCUUGCCCUCCCCGUAAGUGGGGGCCGGGGUGCCGGCACAGGAGUGCGGCCUGCUGCUGUAGCCAGCAACGAGGAAUGACCCCUCCCUGCCCCUUUAGAAGAGGGCAGGUUGAGGAAGCGCUCUGCAAGAGGGGCCGGCGCAGGACAGCCUGCCGCCUGUUCUCCUGGUGGGACCUGCCCGCGGCCGGGGCUGAGGCGGGUGCCUGGGCUCCCGAAGACGAGGCGUUGUGCGUCAGCCAGCACGGCCAGCCCGUAAGCGGGGCGUGGCUGAGAGCCCGCCGCUUUGGAGGGCUUGGCGCUAGUGCGGAGCGGUGAGGGUGAGCGCCCUGUAAGGAGGGCUCCGCUGCCGGGCUGUGGAGAGUCAUUCCUGUUGCUGUGGGGGACGGCCGAGCUCUUGGACUCCCCGGGUGUCGACCCGCCUGUAGUCAGGGCCGGGGUCGCGGGGCCUUUGUGCCCAGCUGGCAGCUUGCUCGGGGUGACCGGCCUGUGAGUGGGGCCUAGGUCCGAGUGGCCCCGACGCUGAGAAGAGGAGCCUCCCGCGGGCCCAGGGCUGCCCUGUGACUCGGGGACUGGCUGGGGUGCCGAGGGCUGUGCUGUCCAGCCGGUGGCGCGAGCCGCCUGUAGGCAGGGGUGAAGUCUCUUUGGCCACCGCUGGUCAUGGCCAGCUACGGGUGCCCAGAGUGCCAGCCUCCCAGCCACGCUUCAGCACCGCCCUCGGGCAUCCCGCAGCCCCAGCUGCGGUGCAGGCGGCCGGACACCUGCUGUCCCGAAGACGGGCCAGUCGAGUCGGCAGCAGUUGCUGGUUCACAACACCAGGAAUUGUACCCCCAGGCCUCAAGUCUCCUGCUCAACCCUGCAGUGGCAGGCACCAGGUGCCGCACCUGCUCCAGAUGCGGAAGCAAGUGGGGAAGAAGAUCCUGCCCUGCAAUACGGAUAGCUCUGAUUACUCUCAGCUCCAGAGUCUCGAAGAACAGCUCCCUUCUGGGUCUUUAGAAAGCUUCUGCCUGCACACUUCUGGCAGGGAGAACAGAGAUUUCCCCGUGGCAUACACUUUGCAAAUUUCAAACCCACCUCUGCUUGAAUUCCUGCCAACAAAAUUGCACUACACAUGCAAUUUUAGCUUUGUGCCAGUCACUGGAGUGUUUUGGCUGUGGUGAGGACACAGGUGGUGGUGGGAGCAGAAUGCGUAAGGCGGACUUUCAGGGAGAACCUGAGCUUUUUUGUUCAGGAGUUUGCUGAUGUUGCAUUCUGACUGUGACAGUUUUCCAGCAGGAGUUGGUCAGACUAACACUGCAGGAAGAGUGGCUUAUUUUGCGAAGGCUUGCCUAUGAGGUGCAGUAUGGGAAGUGGGAGAGCAGUUUAGUGCGAAUGGAUGAAAUCUGGGCAGGUUGUAGGUAGGUUUUGAGCAGGUUGUAGGUGCCCGUUAGGUGCAGCGUAGAGGGCAAAGUUGACUUGGUGUGUGUGGUGCAAUGGGAUUGGUGUGGAAAGCUGCUCAGAGGUGGGUUUUGCGAGUGACGCCAAGAUCCACGACCCAGCUGCCUACUUCAGGCCUUUUUCCUCUGCCUACCUGGGCUGAGGAGGGCCGUGCAGAGCUGCACUGUUACCGGGUCCCACAGGAGUGGACCAGUGCCGGCUCGAACCAAGGCAAAUUCCCGAAAAACCGUAACGAAGGGGGAGAAGAUCUGGAGCUGAAUCAGAACAUAGACCACUGUGCAAAGGGGCCACGCUUCAACAGCCAACUACCCCACACUUGGAAGACGGUGGCCCAACACUGGGUGUGUGCGUCACCGUGAGAUUGCAGGAGCAGCUGCAGGAGAAGGCCUGGAUGGAGGGAGUGGCCAAGGCAAGCGGCUCUCAGAGAAGAAAGAAGAGGAAGUCCAUAGUGAGCUUGAAAAGCCAAAGAGGAAGAUUUGAAGGCUGAACGGGGGGGGCCUCAAGAGGGGGCAAGAAGAGAGGAAGGAGAGCGGAAGAGCGGAAGACUGAAGCGGAGGGAAGAGCAAGGCACUCUGGGCACAGGGACCUCCCUGUAAGCAGGGCUCAGGUCCGCUGAGAGCAUCGCUGGCACUGUUGGUGCCCUUUGUUACUUUGCGCUGGGCGCCCUGCCUGCAGCCAGGGCUCGGGUCUUUGAUGUUUCUUGGUGGCCUUUUUGCCACGUGGCUCCUUCAGCUGCCUGGGGAGAGUGACGACCCUGUAAGGAGGGUGAGAGGCGCUCUCCCCUCACCCGCGGGGGAACUUGAGCUCUCUGGACCCCCUUCCCACCCUGUAAGCAGGGGUGGGCCCCUCGCCCCGCGGCUUUCCGCCUGCUGACAACCUGGCCAGCGUGACGGCCCCGUAAGCGGGGUGUCUGUCACAGCAUCUGCCUUUGGGCAAGCUCUGAGGCGCCUGGUGAUGGUGAGGGCUCUGGCCUCCGUGCGAGCUGGGGGCAAGUCGGAGCCUCUCUCGUGCUCGUGGGUGAGCGUCUGGGGGCGUUGAUCUCGGCUGCCCUGGGUCCUCUUGCCCUCCUGGAAAGUCAUGUUUGCGUGCGUGUGCGCGUGUUGGUGUGCGUGCCUGGGGGUGAGUGAGUGAGCGAGCUUGCGCUUAGGCUCCAUGUGCUAAUACUGCAGCGUACCUAACCUACACUUCCCAGGAGAGCAAGCGGAAGUCUGGGUGCAGCAGGAGCUCGAUGCUGCCUGGUGCCCUGCGUCGCGGGAGAGCCCAGGCCUGGCCCUGGCUGCCGGAGGGCAGAGUUAAGCCACUCACAAAGGCGGUGGGCGGUGCGACCUGCCCGUAGUGAGGGCCUAGGUCUCUGCCGGCAUGGUGCUCUG